rnacentral:rRNA from 1 species
GACGAACCGUGCGAACGUUGUUCGGAUUCACUGGGCUUAAAGGGCGCGUAGGCGGCGGCCCCAGUCAGGGGUGAAAUCCUCUCGCUUAACGAGAGAAUUGCCUCCGAUACUGGGUCGCUGGAGGGGGAUAGGGGUGCGCGGAACUUCCGGUGGAGCGGUGAAAUGCGUAGAUAUCGGAAGGAACGCCGGUGGCGAAAGCGGCGCACUGGGUCCCUACUGACGCUGAGGCGCGAAAGCCAGGGAGCAAAGCGGG